CCAUUUGAGGAAGCACCAUUCAGUGGUCCUGAUGUGAUAACUCAGGAUACAGAAACCAGCAUGAAAGGUGUCAAAAGAAUUUUUUUUUCAUCUCCAAGGCAGAAUAAAAUGAGGCAAAGAGAAAAGUAAAAAUGAUCAUCAAAGGAGACACCUCUGGAUACAUCUGUGACGGAAUUCCCAGAGGGGCUUAACUGAGAAGGAAAGACCUGCUUUGAAUGGGUACUGUGGCCAGAUGCUCACAGUCCUGUCACAAGUGAAACAUCUCUUUAUAACCAUGCCUACCCACCACAAUGGACCACACCUCCCUGCUAGGUCCCAAGGCCACUAUUAGGUGAGCUGCUUUGCUCCCUGGGAUACUGUCCCAUGAUGCUCUUCUUCAGCUCCUGUUUGAGGCUAAAGAUGUGAGCUGCUGUUCCAGUUGCCUGCUGCCAGCUACCUCUGUUUCCCCAUCAUGCACUAGCAACUCUCUGGAACUUCAAGGCCAAAAUAAAUUCUUUCUUC
rnacentral:lncRNA from 1 species